GGCUAACACGACACCAUUUCGGCACACCCGGCUCGGCCAGCCCGACACUCCUCGCGCCAUUUGAGUUCACGGUCCGAGGGUGGUGGAGGAUCGGCGAGAGUACAUUUCGAAUAUUUUUCCAGAACCAAAAACCGUCAUGCAGUACCUACAUGGCUAGCACUGUACGGCUGUAUCCAAAGGUGUAUCUCAAAUAAAAAUCAAAAACUGAAAGACUAUAGCGAUGUCGAAGAUUAAAAUGAGCAGGGUAAUGUAUUCCGGUUUCUUGUAAAUAUAUUCAAGGAUAUUGCAAAUGGUCAGUUAUUUUAUUUUUUAACCGAAAUGUACUGACAUUUUGUCAAUCAUAUCGAUGGACCUUGAAAUACCAAUGUACUUUUGCAAACUGAUAUGAAUUUGUUAUUAUGUCUACUUGGUAUUGAUAAGGUCAAUCUUCCAAAUUUAGUUUCCUAAUUUCUAUACAUUUAGUUUGAAUAUAUAAAAUGUUGAUAAUUCAAAAUUGAAAUUAAAAAUCUUAAAAUGUGGCCUGGUCAUAAUGAAAUUCAUAUCAGUUUUCAGUACUUGUAUAGAAUUAUCAAGUUCAUUAGAAGGAUCGUCAUCGACAAAAAGUACAUACAAAUGAUAGCUACAUUCUUUAGCGUUCACUCGAGCGUCACCGCAUUGGUGAUAAGUACUUGCAUAUGUGAGCGCUCCACUAUAUUUUUAGACUUCAAUUACACCCUAGUUUUAUCAACUUAUUUUAUAAUAAAGUACCUGUGAAGGGUAAUGCAAAUACAUAUGACGUAUAGUAUACAAAUAUGGACAAUAAUGUCUUAGCAUGCGUAUUAUUUAAAAUUAAUAAUAAUACAGGAGUGAUAUAAAUGUAUUAAUGUAAUGAUCACUUACUAGACAGUAAUGCGUACACUUUUAAAAGAUCCACAUGUCUUAAACCCAAAAAAAAUUGUACGUAUGCAAUUUCCUUAAUUUGUACUAUAAAUAUUUUAUAAUUCAAAAUUUUUUUUUCCUUGUUAUCGAGAAUCGAGGGAGGAACUAGUGUUGGCAUUGCUAAUUUAACUUGUACUUGUUAGUGUUAAGAAUGGAAUACAUCAAUGCAGAUAUAAUUCAAAUGGUAGCACCAAUAUGAACGUUCAACUUCAUAGAUCUUCAUGGCUUCACCUUAUACUAAUAUAAAGCCUAUGGUUCUACUGCCUUAUAUUCACUUUUAAAAUCUUCACAAUUGAAGAAUUUAAAAAUUAUUAUGGAACUCAAGCAUUUUGUUUAAAAUAAAAUAUAGAACAUUGUAUCUUCAAUUCAUGAUGGAGAACCUGCAAUUUUUUAAAUCAAAACUAUAGCUAAUUUGUCCAAAAAUAAGAUUGACCUUAGAUUAAAUGACAUCAUCACAGCAUGUGAAUUGGUAAUUGAUAAAUUUAUGAAUGCCGUGGACAAAUAAAAGAUGAAAAGUACUAUAGUACUCUUGGCCCAAAUCCUCAUAUUGCAAUGAUUACUAGUAGAGCAUUUAAAGUUUUAGUGUUCAUUAUGCCUCUAUCUAAAGACUUUAAAUUGUCAAAAUCAUUAAAACCAUUAUAUUGUGCUUUAGUUUGUCCUAUUUUAGAGUACAGGUCUGUUGUCUGGGAUCCGUACACUGUUUCUGAUAUCAAUCAACUCGAACGUGUUCAACACAGAUUUUUAAGAUUUUGUUGUUUUGUGUUAGGCAUUCCCCAUUUAGCUCACAAUUAUACCAAUAUCGCUAACGUACUUGGCCUGCCUACUCUUGCUGAAAGAAGAAGAACUUUAAAUGUAAAACUUAUUUGUGAUUUAAUUACUAACUAUAUUGAUUUCCCUUGCUUGCUAUCCCAAGUUAACUUCAAUGUGACAAUGUCCCUUCGCAUGUAUCUUGUUCUCAUGUGACCUUCCAUGUUCCUACCGCCAACACAAAUUAUCUGUAAAAUGAGCCUUUGAGGUGGAUUAUGUCACUUGCCAAUGAGGACCCCUUUGAUGAUAAUUUGUUCUAAUGUUUCUUAAGCACUAUUAAUAAACUCUUAAGUUUAAUAUAAGCGUUUUAAUUGUUUACUUAAUUACUGUUAAAUAUAAUUGUACUUCGGUUAUUUACAUAUAAUAUUAAUAUUUCUCAAUUUUCUACUUUUAUUCUAAUAAUUUGUACUGUACUUUAAUUAUAGGGGAAACCCUCGUAUUUGUAAUAAAUAAAUAAAUAAGUAGUUUUCAGCAAAAGUUGCCCUCGACUUUAGCGCGACUGGUAUAUGUUUUUACGCAAUGACUACUAAACAUGUGCCGAACAAAGCGUAGACAAUUUUAAUUAAUUACUCAUUAAUAACCAGCUCUCUACCUGCCAAUGUAGAGAACCACUGUUUUUCUGAAAUAGCGUCACUAGUUGUGUCACUGUUGAGGACCACUUUUGCUGAAAUCUACUAUAGUAUGAAUAUCGUUUUUACUGUUGGAAAUUAUUUAGGCUUUAUGAACAUUUUUUUUCUCAUUUCAUAGGUCAAUUUCAACACCAGUUACAGUCCAAUUUAAUUUUUAUUUCAAUACAUUAAAAGUUUCAAAUUACAACAAUUUUUUUAUAAAGUGUCCCUCUUGUAUUGUGUUAACUCUUGUGUAUCUAAUAUAACAUCAUAGGUAUUUAUUUGUUUUUAAGGGUACUAUACAUUUAUAUUAAAUGUAUGUAUAGUAUUGUUAACUCUACUUUUUUUAAACCACUAAUAAGUAUCUGUUUAUAAUUUAAGCUUAUAAAAAAAUGUACACAACUUUACAGUAAUAAUAAAUUAAAUUUCAAAUUAUUACAAUUUCAUGUUAUACCUACACUUUUAUGUAUUAUUGUCCCUAUUCUAUAUGCAUUCUUCCCUUGGUUCAGUAAUAGCACAAACUAUUUAUUUUAUGGUUUUCCUAGCUAAAAAAAUUAAUAUUUGUGUUUACUUACACUGUCUACUGUGUAGUAUUACUGAUAUGUAUUUUAUUGAACAGUAUGGUUUAGAUAUUUGUUUCUAAAGAACACUACUAUACAAUUGUACAAAAUAUACGGGAGUUAAUACCUGCAGAAUUGUCAACCAUACUUAUUUUUAAGCCACUAAUGUGUAUCUCUAUAGGUUUAUAAAAUAUGUAUCAUACUUACCAUUGUAUUAAUUAUAAAUUGAGUUUCAAAUCAUUACUAUUUCAUGUUACACACCCAAUUUUAUAUUUUAUUAAAAUUUACCUUACUCUAUAUGUAUUCUUUGACCUAGUUCAUAACUAGUAGACCAUAUUUUGUUUUAUGAUUUAAAAACUUUUAUAAUUGUUUUCUUAUAAGCUCAAAUAUAUUUUGUAAAACAAAGUACGGUCUUCUAAGCUACAUCACCAAAAAUAGUGUUAAUGUACAAUAAUAUGUUUUUGUGAAAAAAUAAGUGUAAAUGUAUUGUAUUUCCUAUAUAAAUGUUUAAAUAAAAAUGCAAUAUGUACUUAUCUAA